CGGGCCGCGUAGCUAUCCGAGGGAUCCCGCACUCUCUCUUUGCUCCUCAAAGAUUAACUGGUUCUGUUUUACGUCAAUGCCUGGCGCUCCCCAGGUUCAGCACCAGCUCGGCCCUGACUCUGACUGCAUAUGCCUGUCCCAGAUCAUUAGAACAAGUCAAGUUAGUCCACCAGCAGUGAAAACACUGCAGCGAAUAACUGCUCAGGCACCAGUUUAAAGUGGUUAUUGGAGGAGGAAAGUGCGGCGAGUAGGGAGCGAGUGAACUUGACCUCUACAAGGGCCCUGAGCUGGCCAUGGAGGUGCUUAUGAGUAAGCGCGGUAGAACCUGAGCCCACAGGUUCACUUUAAUUUCUGGCUUCCGAGGCCCGUUUGAUUUCACAUGAAUUUGACCCUCCAGACUUAGUUCAUCUCAUCUUUCGGCUGCAAGUCACACAUAAGCAGACUGGAAAAUCUAUCAGCAUCAACUACCGUACUGAUUAUCAGUGGUGGGCAAAGCCUUGCUUAGGUUCUAGAAAGAAGAAAAAUAAUCCAUGUCCUCAGAAAGCUUUACAAUUUAUUUGAAGAGAUAUGUUUAUAUUUAGA